rnacentral:rRNA from 1 species
GUGAGGAAUAUUGGUCAAUGGACGAGAGUCUGAACCAGCCAAGUCGCGUGAAGGAUGACUGCCCUAUGGGUUGUAAACUUCUUUUGUACAGGAAUAAAGUGAGUCACGUGUGGCUUUUUGUAUGUACUGUACGAAUAAGGAUCGGCUAACUCCGUGCCAGCAGCCGCGGUAAUACGGAGGAUCCAAGCGUUAUCCGGAUUUAUUGGGUUUAAAGGGUGCGUAGGCGGACUUGUAAGUCAGUGGUGAAAGUUUUGAGCUUAACUGAAAAAUUGCCAUUGAAACUGCGGGUCUUGAGUGCAAAUGAGGUAUGCGGAAUGUGUUGUGUAGCGGUGAAAUGCAUAGAUAUGACACAGAACUCCGAUUGCGAAGGCAGCAUACUGGGAUGCAACUGACGCUGAUGCACGAAAGCGUGGGUAUCAAACAGG